GCCAGGCACGGUGGCGCGUGCCUGUAGUCCCAGCUACUCGGGAGGCUGAGGCAGGAGGAUCGCUUGAGCCCAGUAGUCUGGGCUGUAGUGCACUAUGCCGAUUGGCUGUCCACACUAAGUUCGGCAUCAAUAUGGUGACCUCCCGGGAGCGGGGGACCACCAGGUUGCCUAAGGAGGGGUGAACCCGCCCAGGUCGGAAACGGAGCAGGUCAGAUUCUGUGUCUCCCUCUCUUUCUGACCCUCCCCUGCUCACGCUAUCUCUCUCUGUCUCUC
rnacentral:SRP_RNA from 1 species